rnacentral:rRNA from 1 species
CGGGUGAGUUACGCGUGGGUUACCUACCUUGUACAGGGGGACCACCAUUGGAAACGGCUGCUAAUUCCGCAUAAGCGCACAACUUUGCCUGAAACCGUGUGAAAAGUUUUUUCGGUACAAGAUGGACCCGCGUCUGAUUAGCUAGUUGGUGAGGUAACGGCCCACCAAGGCGACGAUCAGUAGCCGACCUGAGAGGGUGACCGGCCACAUUGGGACUGAGACACGGCCCAAACUCCUACGGGAGGCAGCAGUGGGGAAUAUUGCACAAUGGGCGAAAGCCUGAUGCAGCGACGCCGCGUGAGCGAAGAAGUAUUUCGGUAUGUAAAGCUCUAUCAGCAGGGAAGAUAAUGACGGUACCUGACUAAGAAGCACCGGCUAAAUACGUGCCAGCAGCCGCGGUAAUACGUAUGGUGCAAGCGUUAUCCGGAUUUACUGGGUGUAAAGGGAGCGUAGGCGGUUUUACAAGUCUGAUGUGAAAGCCCGGGGCUCAACUCCGGUAUUGCAUUGGAAACUGUAGAACUAGAGUGUCGGAGGGGUAAGUGGAAUUCCUAGUGUAGCGGUGAAAUGCGUAGAUAUUAGGAGGAACACCAGUGGCGAAGGCGGCUUACUGGACGAUUACUGACGCUGAG